UCGUUGUUGUUUCUACAGCUUCAGCUAGCAGCAACCACAGCAGGUGGUUACAGUUGGCCAUGCCGGCAGUUAAGAAAGACCAGUUAGAAGUGUGUGUGUGUGUGUGUGUGUGUAUGUGUGCAUGACGAGUUAGCUUAGGACAUGGUUCAUUUUCUUAUGUUGUGUGUUUCCGAGUUGGCUUAGGCCAUGGUUCUUUCUUUGAUGCAGUAGCAGUUCGGUUAUAAAAGGCAGCGACAGUCAAGAAAAAAACUGGAGAAUGGGGAGGACAAGAAUCCAGCAAGGGAGAAGGGCAAAAAAGAAAGCCGGUGAUCAAGGUACAUGUCUGAUUCUUGAUGUGUCUUCAUGAUAACUUCUCAACUAGGACCAUUAAUGUUGUCAUCAGUUUGAGGAGCCAUUGUGUUUCCUGUAAAAAAUAGGUGAUAUAUUUUGCAAGGCAUUUUUUGUUCAGCAGUUAUGUGUUAUUAAGAAAAUAGGGGUAGGUUUGGGUUCUUCUGCAGUUAACUAGAUAAAAGGGGUUCGUCUUCAUCCAUACACGCACGCCAUCGGAUGUGUUUGUGCAUUGUUCAGUUAGCUUCCCUUAUUUCUAGCAUGCAAAACAGUGGAUUCACAAACACAAAAAUCUCUCUCUAUCUCUGUGUGUGUGGAAGUUAGUAGGCAGAGGGCAACAGUUAGGGAAAAAAUUAAUGGUUUAUGUGUUCUAAAAAUAUUUGUUUUUUCUAUGGGUGUUUCAAUUGUCACAGGGUUUGAAAAUUCAGCAGUUAUCCCUUCCAAGAAAAAAGAGUUAAUUUCGAGUGUGAUAGUAGUUCCUGAGAAAAAAAUGUUCUACCCAGAAAAACAGGAAGUUAACAUCAUAAUUUACAGCGGUUAACUUUACAAAUGUAUACUAGUUCGGGGUCUAUAGCAGUUAGUUUUUUUACAAGAACCCGUGUAGCAGUUAGCUGGGUAGAUUUUAUAAGUUAACUUUUACAAAAAAAGUGCAGUUAACAAAACAACAUGUUUUUUCUAAAUGUGAUUUAACUUUGAAGUUGAAUUUUACAAUUUAUAGUAGUUAAAAUCACAUUUUGCAACCGUUUUCACAAAAAGAGCAAAAAUAUGCAUGCAGAUAAAGUAUAGUUGACUUGCAUCCAAAAGGUCGACAGAUGGGAAGAUUUUGCAAAGACUUGAUAUAAAAAAUUGGCAGUUAGCUUGCAAGGUACACAAACAUUUUGGUCAUAACCGGGAUGCAUUGCAGUUUGCUAAAGAAAUCUAAUUUCUAGUGCUCAUAACUCCUUCCAUGUCUGUUUGAUCUUAUUGAGAGCACAAGUGACUGGUUAAUUAUAGCAAUUGCAUACUCUUUUCUCAUCAUUUUAUCAUCUGGUGGUGUUGAACCAGUGACCGUGUUCAGUGCUGCAUUAUGAUGCUCCUGCUUCAUCUUUUGUGUCUGUUUCGUCUUCCCGAGAAUAAAAGUGAGUCAUUUUUAGUGUGUUCUUAUUGUUCUAGUCAUCAGUUUAUCAUUUCACAUGUUCAACCAUCAAAUAGUGUCGUUCAGAAAUACAGAGACUAUAGAUAGUGACAUAUUCUAUUUUAUACUUUUUCAGACUUCCAAGGAAACAAGCAAUUAGAGUGAAAAGGAGAACUUAGAAAAGAAGUAGAGUGCCUAGGAGCUGAUUUGCAACAAGAUAGAGAGAUGGAUCAUGCUCAGUCUGUUGCUCAACUGAAUACCUUGACCACUGAACUAGCCACUUACAAUGAACAAGGUAGAAAAUGUUUGAUAAACUGAAUGUUUGAGAGUUAAAGUGGUUCUUUUAGGCUUGUGCUUUCAGUAAAUUUGGUUUAUAUUCAUGUCACUACUUGGCUUAUUAAUAUCCUUUUGUUCUGAAAAGACUUAUCAUUAUGCUUGUUCUCAAGAAACAGAGACCACUACUCAAUUAGCUCUUGCCCCCAUGCUGCCAGCGGCGCGAUCCACGGUGCGUAGUUUGCCAAUGAUCAGUUUCAUGGAGAAGCUAGAGUUAGUUUCAGGGACUGGCUGCAGUUAUCUUGCGUCCAAAAAAUUUAAGUGAUGUACACAACUAUGAUUUUGCAAAGCCCCUGCUUGCCUGAGGUACAAAAAAUAGCAAUCUAAUGAGAGGGUUCAGUUUGUUUGCCAAGCCCCUGCUUGCGUGAGGUACAAAAGAUAUUUUUAAUCCCGGCAGUUAACUUGGUGUUAACUCCCGCAAUCCCUGGCAGUUAGCUAUUUUACUCCCGACUGUUAGCUUGAACCAGGAAAAAAACAAAAAAAAGUAUUUUCAAUCCUGACAGUUAACUAUUGCAGUCUCGACAGUUAGCUAUUCCAGUCCCAGUGGUUCACUUGACCAGGGAAAAAAUAGAAAAAAAAGAAUAAAAAACAAAAGAAGCAGGAAAAAGUAUUAUCGGCCACUGUAGUUAGCUUGCUCAUCAUGUGCAGUUAGGUAUUUCAUACCCACAGUUAGUGUGACCCAAUCAAAAAA
rnacentral:lncRNA from 1 species